AUGAACGCAAGUGAAUUCCGAAGGAGAGGGAAGGAGAUGGUGGAUUACAUGGCCAACUACAUGGAAGGCAUUGAGGGACGCCAGGUCUACCCUGACGUGGAGCCCGGGUACCUGCGGCCGCUGAUCCCUGCCGCUGCCCCUCAGGAGCCAGACACGUUUGAGGACAUCAUCAACGACGUUGAGAAGAUAAUCAUGCCUGGGGCGGCAAGCCCAGCAUGCACAGAGCUGGAGACUGUGAUGAUGGACUGGCUCGGGAAGAUGCUGGAACUACCAAAGGCAUUUUUGAAUGAGAAAGCUGGAGAAGGGGGAGGAGUGAUCCAGAUGGUUGCCACCCUGGGGACCACAACAUGCUGCUCCUUUGACAAUCUCUUAGAAGUCGGUCCUAUCUGGUGAAAAAGAGAACAGACUUAACGGGAGCCUUUAGACUGGACCCCACUUACCUGAAGCACAGCCAUCAGGAUUCAGGGCUUAUCACUGACUACCGGCAUUGGCAGAUACCACUGGGCAGAAGAUUUCGCUCUUUGAAAAUGUGGUUUGUAUUUAGGAUGUAUGGAGUCAAAGGACUGCAGGCUUAUAUCCGCAAGCAUGUCCAGCUGUCCCAUGAGUUUGAGUCACUGGUGCGCCAGGAUCCCCGCUUUGAAAUCUGUGUGGAAGUCAUUCUGGGGCUUGUCUGCUUUCGGCUAAAGGGUUCCAACAAAGUGAAUGAAGCUCUUCUGCAAAGAAUAAACAGUGCCAAAAAAAUCCACUUGGUUCCAUGUCACCUCAGGGACAAGUUUGUCCUGCGCUUUGCCAUCUGUUCUCGCACGGUGGAAUCUGCCCAUGUGCAGCGGGCCUGGGAACACAUCAAAGAGCUGGCGGCCGACGUGCUGCGAGCAGAGAGGGAGUAGGAGUGAAGCCAGCUGCAGGAAUCAAAAAUUGAAGAGAGAUAUAUCUGAAAACUGGAAUAAGAAGCAAAUAAAUAUCAUCCUGCCUUCAUGGAACUCAGCUGUCUGUGGCUUCCCAUGUCUUUCUCCAAAGUUAUCCAGAGGGUUGUGAUUUUGUCUGCUUAGUAUCUCAUCAACAAAGAAAUAUUAUUUGCUAAUUAAAAAGUUAAUCUUCAUGGCCAUAGCUUUUAUUCAUUAGCUGUGAUUUUUGUUGAUUAAAACAUUAUAGAUUUUCAUGUUCUUGCAGUCAUCAGAAGUGGUAGGAAAGCCUCACUGAUAUAUUUUCCAGGGCAAUCAAUGUUCACGCAACUUGAAAUUAUAUCUGUGGUCUUCAAAUUGUCUUUUGUCAUGUGGCUAAAUGCCUAAUAAACAAUUCAAGUGAAAUACUAA
rnacentral:misc_RNA from 1 species